rnacentral:lncRNA from 1 species
UGAAAAUGUUACCAACAUACCAAAAUGAUUUUAGCAGUCGCUCUUAUCCAGAGCGACUUAAAGGAGUGUUUAGGUUUAAGUGCCCUAGUCGGCUCAGGGAUAAGAACCAGCAGCCGUUGAUUCACUGGUCCAACGCUCGUAACCGCUAAGCUACCAACCUCUCAUAUAAUCUGAAUGCAACUUCACAUUAUUAUCAAGAAAGACAAAAUAAUGGGGGAAACUAAUCUCUAUGUAGUGCCAAUAGUCUGGACACACAGCAUAUCUAGGGAUAGACGCAGUAACGGAGGUCAAUAGUCUGGACACACAGCAUAUCUAGGGAUAGAAGCAGUAACGGAGGUCAAUAGUCUGGACACACAGCAUAUCUAGGGAUAGAAGCAGUAACGAGGUCAAUAGUCUGGACACACAGCAUAUCUAGGGAUAGAAGCAGUAACGGAGGUCAAUAGUCUGGACACACAGCAUAUCUAGGGAUAGAAGCAGUAACGAGGCCAAUAGUCUGGACACACAGCAUAUCUAGGGAUAGAAGCAGUAACGAGGCCAAUAGUCUGGACACACAGCAUAUCUAGGGAUAGACGCAGUAACGAGGCCAAUAGUCUGGACACACAGCAAUGGUACACAGACCGCGGGGGAUAGAAGAUAGAUGCAGUAACGGAGGUCAAUGGUACACAGACCGCGGGGGAUAGAAGAUAGAUGCAGUAACGGAGGACAAUGGAACACAGACCGCGGAGGAUAGAUGCUGUACCAUUAUACUCAGAUUUUUACCUCAACAUAGUGCGGAAGACACAAAGUUACAGUAGCCUAAAAUGCACGCUAAUUUAGCUGUGGGGGGAAAUGAGGAGACUUGGAAUCUUUACCCGGUGUGUUUCAUUGGCAUUUCCAUUGUUUUGGAAGAGUUCCAGGCCUACCUAAUAAUAGAGAGAGAGAGACAGAGAGACUGAGACAGAGACAGAGAGGGAGAGACAGACGGAGAGGGAGAGAAAGGGAGAGACAGACAGAGAGAGACGGAGAGAGGGAGAGAGAGAGAGAGAGACGGAGAGAGAGAGAGACGGAGAGAGAGAGAGAGACAGAGAGAGA